AUGGCUCAGGAUGAACGCUAGCGACAGGCCUAACACAUGCAAGUCGAGGGGCAGCGCGGAGUAGCAAUACUUGGCGGCGACCGGCGCACGGGUGAGUAACACGUAUGCAACCAACCCAUAACAGGGGGAUAACCCGGAGAAAUCCGGACUAAUACCGCAUAAGACCACGAUAUCGCAUGAUAUAGAGGUCAAAUAUUUAUAGGUUAUGGGACGGGCAUGCGUCUGAUUAGCUGGUUGGCGGGGUAACGGCCCACCAAGGCAUCGAUCAGUAGGGUUCUGAGAGGAAGGUCCCCCACAUUGGAACUGAGACACGGUCCAAACUCCUACGGGAGGCAGCAGUGAGGAAUAUUGGUCAAUGGGCGAAAGCCUGAACCAGCCAUGUCGCGUGAAAGGAUGAAGGUCCUAUGGAUUGUAAACUUCUUUUGCAGGAGGGUAAAGUGAGCUACGUGUAGUUCAUUGCAAGUACCCUGCGAAUAAGCAUCGGCUAACUCCGUGCCAGCCGCCGC
rnacentral:rRNA from 1 species